rnacentral:rRNA from 1 species
AAGAACAAGUGCCGUUCAAAUAGGGCGGCACCUUGACGGUACCUAACCAGAAAGCCACGGCUAACUACGUGCCAGCAGCCGCGGUAAUACGUAGGUGGCAAGCGGUGUCCGGAAUUAUUGGGCGUAAAGGGCUCGCAGGCGGUUUCUUAAGUCUGAUGUGAAAGCCCCCGGCUCAACCGGGGAGGGUCAUUGGAAACUGGGGAACUUGAGUGCAGAAGAGGAGAGUGGAAUUCCACGUGUAGCGGUGAAAUGCGUAGAGAUGUGGAGGAACACCAGUGGCGAAGGCGACUCUCUGGUCUGCAACUGACGCUGAGGAGCGAAAGCGUGGGGAGCGAACAGGAUUAGAUACCCUGGUAGUCCACGCCGUAAACGAUGAGUGCUAAGUGUUAGGGGGUUUCCGCCCCUUAGUGCUGCAGCUAACGCAUUAAGCACUCCGCCUGGGGAG